UCCCUUCAGUUUACGGCGAGUGAAGCGGUAAAAGCUCAAAUUUGAAAUCUGGCUCUUGUAGAGUCCGAAUUGUAAUUUGUAGAAGAUGCUUCGGGUGUGGUUCCGGUCUAAGUUCCUUGGAACAGGACGUCAUAGAGGGUGAGAAUCCCGUAUGUGACUGGAUACCUAUGCUCAUGUGAAGCUCUUUCGACGAGUCGAGUUGUUUGGGAAUGCAGCUCAAAAUGGGAGGUAUAUUUCUUCUAAAGCUAAAUAUUGGCCAGAGACCGAUAGCGCACAAGUAGAGUGAUCGAAAGAUGAAAAGCACUUUGGAAAGAGAGUUAAACAGUACGUGAAAUUGUUGAAAGGGAAGCGCUUGCAAUCAGACUUGCACUUGGUGUUCAUCAGGGUCUCGUACCCUGUGUACUUCAUCAAGUUCAGGCCAGCAUCAGUUUGAGUGGUUAGAUAAAGGCUUAGAGAAUGUGGCCCUCUUCGGGGGGUGUUAUAGCUCUAGGUGCAAUGUAGCCUACUUGGACUGAGGACCGCGCUUCGGCUAGGAUGCUGGCGUAAUGGUUGUAAGCGACCCGUCUUGAACCCACGGACCA
rnacentral:rRNA from 1 species